AGCUUUGCGCAGUGGCAGUAUCGUAGCCAAUGAGGUUUAUCCGAGGCGCGAUUAUUGCUAAUUAAAAAGCCACAUGAUAGAUUUGAGUAGCCAAAAUAAAAUUCUAUAGCAUCUUCAUUUUAAAAUUUGCAUACUUAAGUAC
rnacentral:snRNA from 14 species